rnacentral:rRNA from 1 species
UACAGAGGUCUCAAGCGUUGUUCGGAUUCAUUGGGCGUAAAGGGUGCGUAGGCGGCGCGGUAAGUCGGGUGUGAAAUCUCGGAGCUUAACUCCGAAACUGCAUUCGAUACUGCCGUGCUUGAGGACUGGAGAGGAGACUGGAAUUUACGGUGUAGCGGUGAAAUGCGUAGAUAUCAGGAGGAACACCAACGGCGAAGGCAGCUCGCUGGGACGGUACUGACGCUGAGGCGCGAAAGCGUGGGGAGCGAACAGG